GCGAGCGAUUGGGGGAUUACGUAUGUCUGUCGUGACCGAUUCGCUUACACGGCCGUUGUAUUAUUAUUGGUUUUUUUCUACGGAGCAGUCGCCGUGAAAUAACGAAAAUACAAAAAUUACGUGUAUAAUAUGUUUCUGAGUGGGCUGUGCGAAUUUUAUUUCGACGUUUUAUCGAUGUAAUACAUACAUGAAUGCUGGUAUAAAUUAAAUAAUUUUAUGUGUUCCACGUUCCCCACUGCCGAC